rnacentral:rRNA from 1 species
UUAUUAGGUCUGGCAAUUGGAAUGAGAACAAUUUAAACCCCUUAUCGAGUAUCAAUUGGAGGGCAAGUCUGGUGCCAGCAGCCGCGGUAAUUCCAGCUCCAAUAGCGUAUAUUAAAGUUGUUGCAGUUAAAAAGCUCGUAGUUGGAUUUGUGGUGUGUCCAGUCGGCCUUUGCUCUCUGAGUGAUUGCGCUGCACUGGUCUGCCAUGUUUGGGUGGAAUCUGUGCGGCAUUAAGUUGUCGUGCAGGGGAUGCCCAUCGUUUACUGUGAAAAAAUUAGAGUGUUCAAAGCAGGCUUAUGCCGUUGAAUACUUCAGCAUGGAAUAAAAAAAUAGGACUUUGGUGCUAUUUUAUUGGUUUGCACACCAAGUAAUGAUUAAUAGGGAUAGUUGGGGGUAUUCAUAUUUGAUUGUCAGAGGUGAAAUUCUUGGAUUUAUGAAAGAUGAACUUAUGCGAAAGCAUUUACCAAGGAUGUUUUCAUUAAUCGAGAACGAAAGUUAGGGGAUCGAAGAGGAUUAGAUACCCUCGUAGUCUUAACCAUAAACUAUGCCGACUCGGGAUCA